rnacentral:rRNA from 1 species
CUACGGGCCGCUGCAGUGAGGAAUAUUGGUCAAUGGGCGCGAGCCUGAACCAGCCAUCCCGCGUGCAGGAUGACGGCCCUAUGGGUUGUAAACUGCUUUUCUAUGCCAAGAAACCUGUUACGUGUAAUCAGUUGCCGGUAGCAUAGGAAUAAGCAUCGGCUAACUCCGUGCCAGCAGCCGCGGUAAUACGGAGGAUGCAAGCGUUAUCCGGAUUCAUUGGGUUUAAAGGGUGCGCAGGUGGGCUUGUAAGUCAGUGGUGAAAUGCUGCCGCUUAACGGUAGAACUGCCAUUGAUACUGCGAGUCUUGAGUAUGGUUGAGGUAGGCGGAAUGUGUUGUGUAGCGGUGAAAUGCAUAGAUAUGACACAGAACGCCAAUUGCGAAGGCAGCUUACUAAGCCAUUACUGACGCUGAGGCACGAAAGCGUGGGGAGCGAACAGGAUUAGAUACCCUCGUAGUC